UUCACUUUCUACCAACAAAAACCCUACACAGCUCAACAUCUUCUGCAUAGUGUAUCGGCGUGACUGGUUUCGAUCGGGAAGUGCCCUGCACAGAGUACCAGCGUGGGGUUGAGUGAAGCAGCGAUGUUGCCUUGUGCUUGUAAUCCCAAGACUGGGGCUAGGAUCAUUUCUUUGAUUGGUGGUACCUGCACUGAAGGACCUGAUUCGUGGUGUUGUUGAUCAGGAACCGUAAUGCUAAUCAGUAGGAAGAGACAAUUUCAGGGUGUCCUCAAAGGUGCGGAAAAGUAUUUAAGAUAAAUUUUAAUGGUGUUGAGGCCAAUUUUCAUGUGUCUUGACAACUUAGGGGAGGCUUAUUUCUUGAAGGAGGUGGAUUAUGAUAAAUUGAUUGAUUCAAUCGAGGUUGUUCAAGAUUCCAUUGACAAAAAUAAUGGCUAUUUGGGUAAUGUUCAUAGACUUGAUCAUAGCAUAUCGGAUUCUAUGGUUCUGAAGUUGAAAGAGUAGUGUGAUUCCUUUGUUGAGCAUGCGCCUCAAAUUCAAAGGUCAGAAUCUGAUAUUGAUAGGAGAUUUUACGAAUUCCCAGAUGAUCGAUCUUCUUUAUAAAAUUCAGUUGAGUUGUCAGAAUACGACUCUAAUUCAUUCGGGAGCCUAGAGGGAGACGAUUUUUCAGAGUCACAAGGUUUUGAAGAACGUAUCUUAAAUGUCAACUGAAUUCUUGAACUGGUUUACUAAAUUCAUUAUAAGUAAACUAAAAAUUAGUUUAUUGAA